UACGAAGGGGGCUAGCGUUGUUCGGAAUCACUGGGCGUAAAGGGCGCGUAGGCGGCUUUGUAAGUCGGGGGGUGAAAGCCUGUGGCUCAACCACAGAAAUUGCCUCGAUACUGUAGAGCUUGAGACCGGAAGAGGUAAGUGGAACUGCGAGUGUAGAGGUGAAAUUCGUAGAUAUUCGCAAGAACACCAGUGGCGAAGGCGGCUUACCUGGUCCGGUUCUGGACGCUG
rnacentral:rRNA from 1 species